CUCUGGGUGAACGGCUCGCUCCAGAGCACAUAUACUAGCACACUCUGGGUGUUGUAGGAUUAUGGGGUUCCAGACAUGCUUUCCCAAAAUAUGGCACACCUUGGCAUAUUGCAUACUUCAAGUUGGAGGAAUUUAAGAACUGGCAUGUGCAGGACCUGACUUUCUGAUCGCGUCCUGAAGCAGAUCGUAAUGCCUUCAUGGAAGAGGUGCCCGCCCUCCCUAUAACUGGAGGAAAGGAGCAUCCUUAUUUGGGAAAACAAAACGACACACACACAGAGGAAUCUGGAUGAACAAGCCUUGCUAAGUUUCUCCCUGUUUACUACACACAGCUCACACUCUUUGCCCUAUCACAUCUUUCCACGGCUGUCCACUCUUCAUCAAACCUCGUGUAAAAGGCUCAGGAUUAACUGCUUCUUAAGGUCUUUCUGUCCUUAUUAAGGCUCCAGUGUCAGAAUUCAUCUUGAACUAAAGUCAACUAAAAUACAGAUGCUUAAUUCUUCGGACUCAUUAGACAAGCCCUUAUUGACCAUCAUAAUUUUUCAGGCUCAUUACCUUUAUUGACCACCAUAUUUGAAGCUCUGCACAACUUAAAGGAAAGCUGAAGAAAACAAUGUUUGGGGUAUUUCUCCAUGCCUCUAGAGAGGUACAUGUUCCUAUUCUUUGAAUAAAGUGGGUGGGGCCCUGGGACAAGUUGAAAUAGCACUAUGGAAUAGGUCUGUUCGAUAUGGUUAUAUCUUUUUGUCUGAAGGGAACCACUAGACUUUUGAACAUUCAUACUAAAAUGUUAGUAUAAUAUUUUACUUCCAAAGCCAAAUAAAAAUGAUUUUAGGUCAUCUA